UACGGAGGGUGCAAGCGUUAUCCGGAUUUAUUGGGUUUAAAGGGUGCGCAGGCGGGACUUUAAGUCAGUGGUGAAAUCCCUUCGCUUAACGAAGGAACUGCCAUUGAUACUGAAGUUCUUGAAUCUAGUUGACGUUAGUGGAAUGUGUCAUGUAGCGGUGAAAUGCUUAGAUAUGACACAGAACACCGAUCGCGAAGGCAGCUAACGAAGCUAGUAUUGACGCUCAGGCACGACAGCAUGGGGAGCAAACAGG
rnacentral:rRNA from 1 species